rnacentral:ncRNA from 2 species
AUUACAGAGUUGCAAAACUCCCAAACCAUUGUGAACGUUACCUAUCCCGUUGCUUCGGCGGGCGGCCCGGGCCCCGUGCCCGGCGCCCCCCGGCCCCUCGCGGGCGCCCGCCGGAGGUAAACCAAACUCUUGAAUUGUAUGGCCUCUCUGAGUCUUCUGUACUGAAUAAGUCAAAACUUUCAACAACGGAUCUCUUGGUUCUGGCAUCGAUGAAGAACGCAGCGAAAUGCGAUAAGUAAUGUGAAUUGCAGAAUUCAGUGAAUCAUCGAAUCUUUGAACGCACAUUGCGCCCGCCAGUAUUCUGGCGGGCAUGCCUGUUCGAGCGUCAUUUCAACCAUCAAGCCCCCGGCUUGUGUUGGGGACCUGCGGCUGCCGCAGGCCCUGAAAACCAGUGGCGGGCUCGCUAGUCACUCCGAGCGUAGUAGUUACAUCUCGCUCAGGGCGUGCUGCGGGUUCCGGCCGUUAAAAGCCUUUUUUACCCAAGGUUGACCUCGGAUCAGGUAGGAAGACCCGCUGAACUUAAGCAUAUCAAUAAGCGGAGGAAAAGAAACCAACAGGGAUUGCCCUAGUAACGGCGAGUGAAGCGGCAACAGCUCAAAUUUGAAAUCUGGCUUCGGCCCGAGUUGUAAUUUGCAGAGGAAGCUUUAGGCGCGGCACCAACUGAGUCCCCUGGAACGGGGCGCCACAGAGGGUGAGAGCCCCGUAUAGUUGGACGCCUAGCCUGUGUAAAGCUCCUUCGACGAGUCGAGUAGUUUGGGAAUGCUGCUCAAAAUGGGAGGUAAAUUUCUUCUAAAGCUAAAUACCGGCCAGAGACCGAUAGCGCACAAGUAGAGUGAUCGAAAGAUGAAAAGCACUUUGAAAAGAGGGUUAAAUAGCACGUGAAAUUGUUGAAAGGGAAGCGCUUGUGACCAGACUUGCGCCCGGCUGAUCAUCCGGUGUUCUCACCGGUGCACUCUGCCGGGCUCAGGCCAGCAUCGGUUCUCGCGGGGGGAUAAAGGUCCUGGGAACGUAGCUCCUCCGGGAGUGUUAUAGCCCAGGGCGUCAUGCCCUCGCGGGGACCGAGGUUCGCGCAUCUGCAAGGAUG